GAUGAACGCUGGCGGCGUGCCUAAUACAUGCAAGUCGAGCGAACAGACGAGGAGCUUGCUCCUCUGACGUUAGCGGCGGACGGGUGAGUAACACGUGGAUAACCUACCUAUAAGACUGGGAUAACUUCGGGAAACCGGAGCUAAUACCGGAUAAUAUAUUGAACCGCAUGGUUCAAUAGUGAAAGACGGUUUUGCUGUCACUUAUAGAUGGAUCCGCGCCGCAUUAGCUAGUUGGUAAGGUAACGGCUUACCAAGGCAACGAUGCGUAGCCGACCUGAGAGGGUGAUCGGCCACACUGGAACUGAGACACGGUCAAGACUCCUACGGGAGGCAGCAGUAGGGAAUCUUCCGCAAUGGGCGAAAGCCUGACGGAGCAGCGCCGCGUGAAUGAUGAAGGUCUUCGGAUCGUAAAACUCUGUUAUUAGGGAAGAACAAAUGUGUAAGUAACUAUGCACGUCUUGACGGUACCUAAUCAGAAAGCAACGGCUAACUACGUG
rnacentral:rRNA from 1 species